UACAUGGGGUGCAAACGUUUGCUCGGAAUCAUUGGGCGUAAAGCGCGCGUAGGCGGUUACUUAUGUCGGAUGUGAAAGCCCUCGGCUUAACCGAGGAAGUGCAUCCGAAACUGGGUAGCUAGAGUACGAAAGAGGGUCGCGGAAUUCCCGGUGUAGAGGUGAAAUUCGUAGAUAUCGGGAGGAACACCGGUGGCGAAGGCGGGUCUCUGGGCCGUAACUGACGCUGAGGAGCGAAAGCGUGGGGAGCGAACAGG
rnacentral:rRNA from 1 species